CAAUAGCGUAUAUUAAAGUUGUUGCGGUUAAAAAGCUCGUAGUUGGAUUUCUGCCGAGGACGACCGGUCCGCCCUCUGGGUGUGUAUCUGGUUUGGCCUGGGCAUCUUCUUGGAGAACGUAGCUGCACUUGACUGUGUGGUGCGGUGUCCAGGACUUUUACUUUGAGGAAAUUAGAGUGUUUCAAGCAGGCACACGCCUUGAAUACAUUAGCAUGGAAUAAUAAGAUAGGACCUCGGUUCUAUUUUGUUGGUUUCUAGAGCUGAGGUAAUGAUUAAUAGGGAUAGUUGGGGGCAUUCGUAUUUAACUGUCAGAGGUGAAAUUCUUGGAUUUGUUGAAGACGAUCUACUGCGAAAGCAUUUGCCAGGGAUGUUUUCAUUGA
rnacentral:rRNA from 1 species